UAGAGGCUCCACUAUCAAUUAUCCAAUUAUGCCCAAAAUUUACUGGAGUAAAUUUUUUACCAGAAUUGGGAUGCACAUUAUCAUCAUUAAGUCCGAGGAAAUCAAGUAACUUCUGGAAGGCCGAGUCUGAAAGAUGAGAAAGUUUGUUCAGCCCGCUGCUAUUGGGUUAUCCCAACUGCACCUGGUGGGCUUGCAGCCCGCUAAACUGAUUCUGGCCCAAACUUGAAUUCCCUAGUUGGGCCUGAUGGGCCUGUAGUCCAUUGAAUUGAUUCGGGCCCAGGGCAAGCCCACGCUGCUGCCCAUUUUGCCCUCCCCUUGUCGCUCCAGUCGUUUUCUUCCCGAAAAACCCUAACUUAUUCUCCUUUGCAAAUUUCGACUUCCAGUUCGUCGGGCGGCCGUGUAGUAGCCAACAAGCACUCUUAAUGUGCCCGUGACGGCCAUAAUGGUAACAAGUCUUGGUCGCAUUUGUUUCUCCUCUGCUUCCGUCAUGUCCUCUGAUCAUCGACAACACCUUAUUCAGGGUGUGGGCAGGUUCAUGGCUUAGGAUGUUCGAUUUCACCGUGUUAAAUUCGGACCCCAAUCCCAUCAGAAAUUGAUGGAUCUUCUCCCGUUCCCUCUGUGCCGUGUACAUCUUGGAUGCCGAGCAUGUACAGGUCGGUAUGUCCAGGUCCUUCCACAAGUUCUGUGCCACCGUUGCACAAGCCACACUGGAUUGGAGUUCAGGAUCCAGUGUGUUGAAUAUCCAUGAUAUCACUAGGGCAUUGCACAUGUCCCAUUGUGCACGGUUGAGGCCGCCUUCCUGUGGUUUUGGCACCGAUCCAUCCACCAUUCCAACCUUGUUCUUGGCUGUUAAAGCUGUCAUCAUAGCUCUCGACCAUGUCAGGUAAUUCGAGCCAUUCAACUUACAGUUAAUUAGACUUACCCCAGUAUAAUUUGAUGGAUUGACAGCAUAAACGGAUGACUGGUCAACCCCGAUAGCCCCAAUGCUGCCCUUUCCCGACGACUCUUCACUCUUCUCCAUCCCUGCCAACACUCACAGAGAAUAAAAACACAUCUAAGCAAGGUUCGAGCUUGCUCUUCAAUCUUCACUUCAAAUCAGUCUUCAAAGGAGAGAGAAAAGGGUGGGGUUAUUUUUGAAAAAAUAAGAAAGAUGCCCAACCUGUGGGAAGUUAGAGAGGACAAGAUCGGGACUUUAAGAGUAUUGCGAGCCAAGAUCGCAGGCCCCAGUCGAGGGAUUCUUGAAAUGGGCUGUGGGGCGAGAGUUCUUGCUGGGGCGAGCUUCAAGGUGAAGCUACGGAAGGCGGCGAGUGCGAGCUGAGCUCUCUUGUGGGAAGCCAUGGUUGUUGGGGUCCUCUGCAAGGGAAGAUCAUGUAUAGAAGAAGGAGAGAAACGUGAUUCUUCUCAGAAAAGAAAUGGUGGAAGCCAGAAGUUGAUCCAUUAUCCCACCAGCGAGAGAUAUUCGGUGGUAUGUCUGGAAAUUUAAUGAAUUCAAUGGAAGAGACUAGAGAGGGAAGGAGGUUUUGUUUUGUCUGCCUAGUUGCUGACUUGCAGAUGGCCACGGGAUUUUAGGGAGGGAGGGAGAGAGAUUAUAUAAUUUUUAAUUAAAUGUGCGGUUCAACCUAUCGAAUUUGACUGGACCCAUCGAAUCCGUGAACUCAUACUUUCACCGGUUCAACAUCCGGUCCGGUUCUGAUAACAAUGAUUAUAAGUAUAUAUAUUUAUUGACAUC